rnacentral:rRNA from 1 species
UACGGGUGGUGCAAGUGUUAUUCCUCAUGACUAGGCGUAAGGGUGCGUAGGUGGUUAAAUUUGUUUAAAUUUAACAGGAACUUUUUUUUUUUUUUUUUUUUACUUUUUCUAGAAUUUAGAAGACGAUGUGGAACUUCAUGCAUUGAGUUAAAAUUUCGUUUUUUAAAACGUUGAAGGAAACACCCAAGAGCGAAGGGCGAAUUUAAUCGGAUUUUAAAUU